rnacentral:rRNA from 1 species
UACAGAGGUCUCAAGCGUUGUUCGGAUUCAUUGGGCGUAAAGGGUGCGUAGGUGGCGCCGUAAGUCAGGUGUGAAAUUUCGGAGCUCAACUCCGAAACUGCAUUUGAUACUGCGGUGCUUGAGGACUGGAGAGGAGACUGGAAUUCACGGUGUAGCAGUGAAAUGCGUAGAUAUCGUGAGGAAGACCAGUGGCGAAGGCGGGUCUCUGGGCAUGUCCUGACGGCUGAGGAGCGAAAGUGUGGGGAGCGAACAGG